CUGGUUUCGUGUUGUUGUGAUGGACGGGAGAACCUUUUCAUUCAAAAUAUAACGUUUGUGGGUCAAAGAAAGAAUGGAUUACCUGGUGUAUUUAGCCCAAUGCGUCUUUCCAGCUUCCCCAUCCAUACUGCAGAAAAGUAUCUGCAAAGUUAAAUUUUGAUAUCAUCUGGCUAGUCUAACAGCUUGGAAGUAAGAUGUAAGUGUAUCAUUUGUAUAUUUUGUAACUAAAUAAACAUGAUUAUUACAUACUUACAUGUUUAUUGUCCUCUCCCAUCAUGAUUUUGUAACAUUCAUUCAGUAAUGCUCCAAUAUUUAUGCAUAUCUUCACACAAAUUUAAGAAACUGGUGCAUAUCAGGGAAAGCAGAGUAUGAUCCUGACGUAAAGACAUCCCAGUAGGCAAAUACUGGUGUGUACACACAAAAAAACCCCAACACAUUUUGAAUCAGGGGAAAAUCUGACUACUUACGCACGGCCUUGGAAGCAGAAAACAAAACAAAGUCAUGAUAAAGUGCUUGAGAAAGUAUUUUGUGCACUUUAUUGAACAUUGCGCAUCUGCAGUUUACAUGUCGACAACCUUGAAACUGUAUAAACAGGUUUACAAUAUUGUAAAAGAUGAAAUAUUUAAUCUGGUUUAAUUCUUAUGUACAGACAAUAACUGUAAGAAGCACAAGGGGAGAGAUGCAAGACGGUGUCCUUUUAAUAGCAAAGAACCCCUUUACUCUGUAUUGCACACUUUCUUGUAACCAGAGUAUGUUGAACAGUAAUAAAGGUAAUACUCUCCAAACAAUAGGCCCACAUACUCACUCGCAGCACAACCCUUUUCAUUCAGCUCCGCUGGAUUACACACUUCUUAUAUAGUACUCUAAACAGAUUCUAGUCAUUAAAAUAUGUGCUUACUUCAUUAAAAUAUUUAUUUGUCGACACGUUUUGCUACAUCAUAUCUCUGCUGGAAUGAGCAUGGCCUCCGUCCCUCUCCCGUAUUUCAUGGCCAAGUCGAACCAAGCAAAGACGGAAAAAGAGCUUGUUUGGUUUCAGUCGUGUUUUUGGCCUACAGACUUUCAGAGACUUCAAAUCAUUUUCUAGGGUUUGAUGCAUUUUGCCUCUUGUUUGCCAGAACUUUUAAAGACAACCAAAAAAAGAGGUCUUAAUCAAUAUGCAAUAAAUGUGAAUCCAUUUUCCUGUUAUUACAAACACUUUAAAAGAAUUAAAAAUGUAAAAAUGUGUGAAAAAAAAGUAAACACCAACAGGCUGCUUCUUAUGCAUAUAGGCAAAUACUUAUAAUUGUCAAUGACAGUAAUCCUUCACGAACAGCUUUAGGUUAACGAUUGCAGAUCUCACCAUUAUUAAAAAAAUUUAAAUAAAGAGCUUAAUCAUUUAGAGCAACAACAAUUUCAGUUUAUGAAGAAGCUUCUGGAGACACUUCAAACCAAGGCAAAACAGAAGAAGUUUGGAUGGGAAGAGAGAAAGAGAAAUGAUUGAUAUUAAUUUGAAACAAUGAGACUACUCUUGGCUUAUCCAUAUGUAAUAAAGAAAAAAGAAACAGGAAAAAAGUCUGUGAAAUAAAAUAUGCGGUCAAGAAAUUUGAGGUGAGAAACUCAGUAUAAACUGGGAAUAAUAUUUUUAAAACUUUUACUCCAAACUCUUGUGUGAAAUCCAUUUCCUCCUCCACCCAAAAAUCAUAGAACAACUAACCAGUGUGUAAACUUGGUGUGACGGAACAACUAUGAGAGUUACAAAGGAGAAGAAAAAAGAGGGAAAAUAAAUGAAUGGUAGAAAGCAUCAAUCUCAUAUGCAUGAGGAUCAGUAUCACCCCCAAAUCACUUUCUUUACAGCAACAUCCCAGCCCCCGCGCAGUGAAACUAUGUGGUCAACGGAUACUCUACCCAGGAAAUAGGCCUAGCUCUGUCUGUCUGUACCAGGUUUAUGUUUAUUGGAGAAAAACAUUGUUUAUGUGCUCGAGAUAAGGUUCUGCUUUGUUUCUGCAAGUAUGUCUCGUGGCAUUUCACAUGUAUCCAAAUGACAGAAAAACAGACAUGUUGGCUUGCUCUACCUGCAGUCUGUCGCUGGGUGUAUUUAAAAUGCCAGUGUGUUUUACCAGCAUUCAAGGCAGAGAGUUUCGUAUAAAGUUGGUGCAACAAAAAAAUAUGGUGGUAAAAUAUGAUGCGCAAAAACAGAAAAGGAUAUGUGAGAAUUAUAAAACAGAA